GAAAUUUCAUCCGCACUAGCGAUACUAGUUUCCCCGGAAAGAUAUAAAAGUGUCGAGGAAAAAAGUUUAAUUUAUAAUAUUAAUUAUUAUAUAUGUACUCUUUUUUAUUAAUUUUUUUGAGGAUAAGCUCAAAAAAAAGUUAAGAUAUUUUCAGUUAAAAUUACUGUGUGGGCUUAAAAUUGGCCACCCAUAAAAGUUUGUUAUAAAAUAGUAACCUUAAUUUAAAAAAUAAAUAUAUUUUAAUCUAAGUCCUUAUGGGGAUAAGAACUUCAACUAAAAUUAAGUUUUAUACCUAUGCUAGAAUGAGUAUUAAAACUUGGUUACAAAAGAAAUAAUACUAUUUUAUUUUCUUCUAAAAAUUUUUUAGAAAAAAUUAAUUAAUUAGAAGGAAUUCGGCAAGUUUAGUUUUCGCCUGUUUAUCAAAAACAUGGCUCUUUGCUUACACAAAUAUAGAGAGUCGAGCCUGCCC
rnacentral:rRNA from 1 species